AACGAACGCUGGCGGCAUGCCUAACACAUGCAAGUCGAACGAGACCUUCGGGUCUAGUGGCGCACGGGUGCGUAACGCGUGGGAAUCUACCCUCAGGUUCGGAAUAACUCAGAGAAAUUUGAGCUAAUACCGGAUGAUGACUUAAGUCCAAAGAUUUAUCGCCUGAGGAUGAGCCCGCUUAGGAUUAGGUAGUUGGUGAGGUAAAGGCUCACCAAGCCGACGAUCCUUAGCUGGUCUGAGAGGAUGAUCAGCCACACUGGGACUGAGACACGGCCCAGACUCCUACGGGAGGCAGCAGUGGGGAAUAUUGGACAAUGGGCGAAAGCCUGAUCCAGCAAUGCCGCGUGAGUGAUGAAGGCCUUAGGGUUGUAAAGCUCUUUUACCCGGGAUGAUAAUGACGGUACCGGGAGAAUAAGCUCCGGCUAACUCCGUG
rnacentral:rRNA from 1 species